rnacentral:rRNA from 1 species
UACGUAGGGCGCAAGCGUUGUCCGGAAUUAUUGGGCGUAAAGAGCUCGUAGGCGGUUUGUCGCGUCUGUCGUGAAAGCUUGGGGCUUAACCCCAAGUCUGCGGUGGAUACGGGCAGACUAGAGGCAGGUAGGGGAGAACGGAAUUCCCGGUGUAGCGGUGAAAUGCGCAGAUAUCGGGAGGAACACCGGUGGCGAAGGCGGUUCACUGGGCCUGUACUGACGCUGAGGAGCGAAAGCGUGGGGAGCGAACAGG